AAAUAAUGCUUCAUUCCUUUGAUCAAUCAGAUGAUGAAAAAAUUGUACAAAAAUAACGGUCUAAACUAAAUGCGUCUAUGAAACAAUAUUUGGUUAUUUUUAUACUCGGUGCUAGUUUUAGUUGAAACUAUGAGUUUUUGACAGAUUUGAUCGUCUUGCUUCCCCAGUUCUGGAACCGAAGGAUCCUCCUCGACCAAGAGAAGGACUUUCCCCUUUUAUUUCACUAACACGAGGACUGUAUACCUUGUUAGAAAGCCUUGGGCUUUGGAUGCUAACAGAAUCUCUGGUUGGUGUCGCAUUGCAGCUUGUUACCUUUGAACUGCACAUACGUCGAAUCUCACCUCGACUUCUUGUCAUCAUGCCAUCCAUAAUCUCCCCAUCAUCUCCUCCAAAUGAACCUUCAUUUUCUCUAGCCAUGCUGCAUGAUGAUAACGGUGGUGCUUCUUCAUACUCAGCAGCAUCUAAUUCCUGAAGAUGUGCUCCUUUGAAGAACCUAGGUAGUAGGUACUGUCUGACUGGAACUAAAAGCAUGAUCAUAAGUGGGAAGAGAACGCCAGCAAUGGGAACCCAUGUUAUCCCAAAACAGAUCAGUAAGUAGAUGCUCUGGAAAAUGGUGAAGAACGCUAUUGUCUUGUAAGGUACAGUUUCAAUGAACACAGCAUGACACUCUUCAAUUACUUUGUAUCUUCGGCUAGGAGCUGUGAAUAGUAAUAGGAUCCGUUCCCAGAACUGAUUUCCUGGUAAGCUUUCAAUGGCCAUAAAGCCAAAGUAUCCCCAAAGGACUGAUGUCGGAAUCAUUUUGAGAAGAGGCAUGGCGGCCACACAUCCUCCCACCAUGGCGGACUGAAGCAAGUUGCUCAACCUCUGCUCCUUCACUUCAACGGGCAACAAGUCAUCUAUGUCCUUCUCAACAUCAAAGAUUGUCUCAUCAACAGGUUCAUCCCUGUUGCCUAUUCUUGAAGCCAAUUCAAUGGUAGACUCUUUUAACUCUUUUAACCCCCGAGAUGAUGGUUCUUGGUGAAUCAGUGGACUCUGCAUCUGUUGAUAGGCUUCUUGCAUACUUUCAUACACUUCAGCCAAAUUCCCAUUCUCAGUCAUACAUUUCCGUGCUUUUGCAACUAAUCGAUUACGAAGCAACUGAUGCUUCAGUGUGGCCAAACUCUUUGUAUGCAUUGGA
rnacentral:misc_RNA from 1 species